GAUGAACGCUAGCUACAGGCUUAACACAUGCAAGUCGAGGGGCAGCGGUAUCUAAAGCUUGCUUUCGGUAGCCGGCGACCGGCGCACGGGUGAGUAACGCGUAUCGAACCUGCCUCAUACUCGGGAAUAGCCUUGCGAAAGUAAGAUUAAUGCCCGGUGUUUUCAGAGUCCCGCAUGAGGCUUUGAACAAAGAUUUAUCGGUAUGAGAUGGCGAUGCGUCCCAUUAGCUUGUUGGCGGGGUAACGGCCCACCAAGGCAUCGAUGGGUAGGGGUUCUGAGAGGAAGGUCCCCCACAUUGGAACUGAGACACGGUCCAAACUCCUACGGGAGGCAGAAGUGAGGAAUAUUGGUCAAUGGGCGGAAGCCUGAACCAGCCAAGUAGCGUGCAGGAAGACGGCCCUCCGGGUUGUAAACUGCUUUUAGUUGGGAAUAAAACGGGGCUCGUGAGCCCCCUUGCAUGUACCAUCAGAAAAAGGACCGGCUAAUUCCGUG
rnacentral:rRNA from 1 species